GGCAGCAGCAGCAGGAGAGGACUCCCAUCCCGCACCCCUUGCUGCCCAGCAUGGGCUCAGUGAAUGGGGACACUGCCCGCCACCCCUGCCACAAGCUCCCCUGGGGUGCAGUAGGCCACCCGAGGUAGGGCUGCGGCUGGCCCCGGGCCUGCUUGGCAAUUGGCUCCUCGUGUCCCAGGCCAGGAAGUAGUGGCGCCUGGCAACACAGCAUACCAUGGCACAUUCCCCAAUGCAGUCAGGCCUGCUGGGCAUGCAGGAAUAAAAAAGUUGGGAUUGCGACUGGAAGAAUGUUUGGGAAGUAUUCUUGAGCCUCCGCUUGUGUGAUUUAUAAAACCUGACGCUGCUAGACUCCAGUGAAUUCAGCUGCAGCCGCCAAAAGCUUCUGCCUUGGACUGAACUCAGAGGAAUCAGUUUUAGCCUCUUCCGGGUGGAUGUCGUCUCUGCCUCGGAGGAAUCGGUUUUGAUCAAGUAAGAAUAGUUCUCUCUGUUUAAAUGAUCAGCUAUGGACUGUGAACUGAAAUCUGCACUUGCUGGAAGCUGACAUGAUUGCUCCCUGUCUCUUCAGUUGCAUCAACUAACCAGACACUUCUGAGGGCUGCCCCAUUGCCCAGCCUCUGACUGGCAUUUCAGCCUUCCUAGCCCCUGAUGGCAAUGGUCCUAUUAUUAGAACUGAAGCAACUUCAGAAGAUGAGAUCUUCGGUCCAAAAUCCCACCCAACAGACUAAAAUGCUAAGUCAAAAGGGGCUCCCUGACAUUAGCUAUUAUCUUGGGGAUCUGCUUAGCUGGAAUAGGAACUAGUAUUGCAGCAACUGGACUAAAAGCCUGGUGAGAUCCUAGAGAGAAAGGAUUCCAGAGGAUGAUUUAAAUCCUGGUUUAAUAGUUGUCCUUGGCUUACUACACUUAUAUCCACCCUAAAGGAACUCCUACUCAUUUUGAUUUUUAUCUUUGGGCAUUGUAUUUUAAAUUGCUUCAUAGCUUUCAUGAAGGAAUGCUUGGGAGCAAUACAGUAAUGGUACUCAGAUCCCAUCAUGGAAAGGUAAAUCUGUAGGAUAUCAGGGGUCACAUCUGGAAGACCCAAGAUUGGGUCUUCAAAUGAUCAUGGGAAAGGGGAAUGAUAGACCAAAGGAUUAAAAAUCAGUGGCUAUUAUUUUAAAGUUUAAAGUACAAGCCUGAACUAAGGCCUGCCAAGUGGAGAUAUGUCCAGCUACCUUCAGGGAAGAACUGGCCUUAAUGCCCUGAGGGAAAGAACUAGCUUUACUGCAUUCUUUUUUUUUUUUUUUUUACUUUUAAAUUUCUUUAUUUUUAAUAUUAAAACAUCAUGCCCUGCUCCUCUUUCCUCCCUCCAAAUCCUUUUCAGUACAUAUAAAAUUAUAUCGACAACAAAAAUUCAACAUAGAAGUAACAUGGUUUUUAAUAUAGCUAAAAACAAUUCUGAAAACUUAGCUGUCUAGUUGUUGAGUCUAAAUGUUCUUUAGAGGCCAGAAUUUUCUGUAACCUUAACUACUAAUUUUUUUUUAAUUACAAGUCAUUCACUUGUAUCCCAGCCAUAGCCCCCUCCCUCUUUCCCUCCCAAUCCCCCCCUCAUCUCCUCCCUGUCCCCUUCUGAGUCCAUUGAUAGGGAAAGUCCUCCUCCCCUUCCAUCUGACCCUAGCUUAUCAGGUUUCUUCAGGACUGGCUGCAAUGUCCUCCUCUGUGGCCUAGCAAGGCUGCUCCUCCCUCAGGGGGGUGGAGGGGUCAAAGAGCCAGCCAUUGAGUUCAUGUCAGAAAUAGUCCUUGUUCCCCUUACUAGGGUACCCACUUGGACACUGAGCUACCAUGGGCUAUGUCCAAGCAGGAGUUAUAGGUUAUAUCCAUGCAUGGUCCUUGUUUAGAGAAACAGUCUCAUAGAAGACCCCUAUGCCCAGAUAUAUUUGGACCUUGUGGGGCUCUUGUUCUCUCUAGGUCAUACUAACUCCCCCUUCUUUCUUAUGAUCCCCUGCACUCUGCCGAAGGUUUGGUUAUGAGUCUCAGCAUCUGCUUUGACACACUGCUAGGUAGAGUCUUUCAGCUACCCUCUGUGGUAGGCUUCUGUCCUGUUACUUAUUUUCUUCUACUUCCAAUGUCCAUCCCAUUUGUCUUUCUAGGUGAGUAUUGAUCAUCUUACCCCUGGUCCUCUUUCUUGUUUAUCUUCUUUAGGUGUACAGAUUUUAGUAUGUUUAUCCUAUCUUAUACGUCUAAUACCCACUUUAAGUGAGUAUAUACAGUGUGUGUCUUUCUGCUCCUGGGCUAUCUCUCAGGAUGAUCUUUUCUCGAUCCCACCAUUUGCCUGCAAAAUUCAUGAUUUUCUUGUUAAUUGCUGAGUAGUAUUCCAUUGUGUAAAAGUACCACAAUUUCUGUAUCCAUUCCUUUGUUGAUGGACAUCUGGAUUGUUUCCAGGUUCUGGUUAUUAUGAAUAAAGCUGCUACAAACAUG